GAUGAACGCUGGCGGCGUGCCUAACACAUGCAAGUCGAACGGAGUCCCGCCUUUAAGACCUUCGGGUCAAAGGGGGGAAGCGUGAGUGGCGGACGGGUGAGUAACACGUGGGCAACCUGGCUCAUAGCGGGGGAUAACAGCGAGUAAUUUCUGCUAAUACCGAAUAAGCAGACCCUGCCUCAUGGCAGAGGGUGAAAAGAGAAUCGCUAUGAGAUGGACCCGCGUCUCAUUAGCCAGAUGGCAGGGUAAGCGCCUACCACAGCGACGAUCAGUACCCGAUCUGAGAGAAAGAGCGCACACAUUGAGAGUGGGACACAGCACGAAAUCCUACGGGAGGGGGGAGUGGGUGAUAUUGCAAAAUGGGGGGAAUGCUGAAGGAGCUAGGACGGUUGAGUGAAGAAGUAUUGGGGGAUGUAAAGUUCAAUCAGCAGGGAAGAUAAUGACGGUACCUGAACAGGAAGCCCCGGCUAACUACGUG
rnacentral:rRNA from 1 species